rnacentral:rRNA from 1 species
CCCUUGGUUGAUCCUGCCGGAGGCCAUUGCUAUCAGGGUUUGACUAAGCCAUGCGAGUCGAGAGGUGUAAGACCUCGGCAUACUGCUCAGUAACACGUGGUUAACCUGCCCUAAGGUGGAGCAUACUCCCGGGAAACUGGGGCUAAUUCUCCAUAGUGGAUGUAUCCUGGAAUGGUAUAUCCUCGAAAGAUCCGUCGCCUUAGGAUGGGACUGCGUCCGAUUAGGUUGUUGGCGGGGUAACGGCCCACCAAGCCAUUGAUCGGUACGGGUUGUGGGAGCAAGAUCCCGGAGAUGGAUUCUGAGACAUGAAUCCAGGCCCUACGGGGCGCAGCAGGCGCGCAAACUUUACAAUGCGAGCAAUCGUGAUAAGGAAACCCUGAGUGCCUGUCGAUGCAGGCUGUUCAUAUAUCUAAAUCAUAUGUGAAGAAAGGGCAGGGCAAGACCGGUGCCAGCCGCCGCGGUAAUACCGGCUGCUCGAGUGAUGGCCACUAUUACUGGGUUUAAAGCGUCCGUAGCUUGACUGUUAGGUCUCUUGGGAAAUCUUCGCGCUCAACGUGAAGGCGUCUAAGAGAUACCGGCAGUCUUGGAACUGGGAGAGGUAUACCGUACUUCGGGGGUAGGAGUGAAAUCUU